GGCCGGGCCUGCAUCCGGAGGUUGCAAACAUGGCGAAGGAAUACAGCACAGGCGCAGCGUUGCUUGUCCCGGGGCCAAGGCGCCUCCCUGUCUGCGAGAAAUGGCCAGCAGGUCCCUCUCAGGAUGGCCUUCCAGCUCGCACACCUGUCUUCUCCAGGAAUGGCCCUCGUGACUCAGAGCGGUUGCCCUGCAGCCUCAGCCUGCCUAGCGAGAACCGAUCUGUCCAAGGUAAGUUUGUGGGAAAGGACUGCUGUUGUCUGCCACAGUGGACUUUUAUUCAAGAUGGUGCCCAGUGGCCAUUUCAAUGGAGUCUGAAUGGCCUUCAUGGUGGCUGGACCCCUCAGCGUGGAGAACAAGAAGAGAGCCUGUUCUGCAAGGAGACUUCUGUGCCUGCUUGGAGGUGCUCUUGUGCAGUGGCAAGCUUUAAGUUUGGUCAGCUGGGAUUAGUUCUUCCCCAGAUCCCUCAUGGGAUCUGCCCUGACUGGAGGGUGAGAGGCAUGAGGGCUGCCUGGAACAGGUCGGGGCUGAGCUCAUGAUGACCUGCCCACACACAGUCAGCGGUGGCUAGUCAUCCAUGCACCUCAAAGCCAUUUGUGGUGUUGAUGCACUGAGGCCCCAGCCCUGCCUUACUCCUUCCUCCAGAUGUGGCCAGACUUAUGUGGCUCCAUUUAUUAUUACUAUUUUUUUUUUUAAAAGCAGAAACACAUUAUACAUAUUUUUCUCUGUAUUGUUUCCCCCACUCAACAUUUUGUAUAUCUCUUUGCAAGUCAAUACAUAUAGAUCUGCUUCAUUCUUUGUAAUAGCUGUGUAGUAUUCCA
rnacentral:lncRNA from 1 species